GGUUAAGCGACUAAGCGUACACGGUGGAUGCCCUGGCAGUCAGAGGCGAUGAAGGACGUGCUAAUCUGCGAUAAGCGCCGGUAAGGUGAUAUGAACCGUUAUAACCGGCGAUUUCCGAAUGGGGAAACCCAGUGUGACUCGUCACACUAUCAUUAACUGAAUCCAUAGGUUAAUGAGGCGAACCGGGGGAACUGAAACAUCUAAGUACCCCGAGGAAAAGAAAUCAACCGAGAUUCCCCCAGUAGCGGCGAGCGAACGGGGAGGAGCCCAGAGCCUGAAUCAGCAUGUGUGUUAGUGGAAGCGUCUGGAAAGGCGCGCGAUACAGGGUGACAGCCCCGUACACAAAAGCGCAUGUGCUGUGAGCUCGAUGAGUAGGGCGGGACACGUGGUAUCCUGUCUGAAUAUGGGGGGACCAUCCUCCAAGGCUAAAUACUCCUGACUGACCGAUAGUGAACCAGUACCGUGAGGGAAAGGCGAAAAGAACCCCGGCGAGGGGAGUGAAAAAGAACCUGAAACCGUGUACGUACAAGCAGUGGGAGCACAGGUUUACCUGUGUGACUGCGUACCUUUUGUAUAAUGGGUCAGCGACUUAUAUUCUGUAGCAAGGUUAACCGAAUAGGGGAGCCGGAGGGAAACCGAGUCUUAAUUGGGCGUUAAGUUGCAGGGUAUAGACCCGAAACCCGGUGAUCUAGCCAUGGGCAGGUUGAAGGUUGGGUAACACUAACUGGAGGACCGAACCGACUAAUGUUGAAAAAUUAGCGGAUGACCUGUGGCUGGGGGUGAAAGGCCAAUCAAACCGGGAGAUAGCUGGUUCUCCCCGAAAGCUAUUUAGGUAGCGCCUCGUGAAUUCAUCUCCGGGGGUAGAGCACUGUUUCGGCUAGGGGGCCAUCCCGGCUUACCAACCCGAUGCAAACUGCGAAUACCGGAGAAUGUUAUCACGGGAGACACACGGCGGGUGCUAACGUCCGUCGUGAAGAGGGAAACAACCCAGACCGCCAGCUAAGGUCCCAAAGUCAUGGUUAAGUGGGAAACGAUGUGGGAAGGCCCAGACAGCCAGGAUGUUGGCUUAGAAGCAGCCAUCAUUUAAAGAAAGCGUAAUAGCUCACUGGUCGAGUCGGCCUGCGCGGAAGAUGUAACGGGGCUAAACCAUGCACCGAAGCUGCGGCAGCGAACGUAUCACUUAAAGCGAUUCAGCGGGUUACGAUUGACGGAGCGAAGCGACGUCAAAGCGUAUACAAAGUCGAGUCGGUUUAAGGAUACGUUCGUUGGGUAGGGGAGCGUUCUGUAAGCCUGUGAAGGUGUGUCGUGAGGCAUGCUGGAGGUAUCAGAAGUGCGAAUGCUGACAUAAGUAACGAUAAAGCGGGUGAAAAGCCCGCUCGCCGGAAGACCAAGGGUUCCUGUCCAACGUUAAUCGGGGCAGGGUGAGUCGACCCCUAAGGCGAGGCCGAAAGGCGUAGUCGAUGGGAAACGGGUUAAUAUUCCCGUACUUGGUGUUACUGCGAAGGGGGGACGGAGAAGGCUAUGUUGGCCGGGCGACGGUUGUCCCGGUUUAAGCGUGUAGGUGUGUGUUCCAGGUAAAUCCGGUUCACUUUAACACUGAGGCGUGAUGACGAGGCACUACGGUGCUGAAGCAACAAAUGCCCUGCUUCCAGGAAAAGCCUCUAAGCAUCAGGUAACAUCAAAUCGUACCCCAAACCGACACAGGUGGUCAGGUAGAGAAUACCAAGGCGCUUGAGAGAACUCGGGUGAAGGAACUAGGCAAAAUGGUGCCGUAACUUCGGGAGAAGGCACGCUGACACGUAGGUGAAGUGAUUUACUCAUGGAGCUGAAGUCAGUCGAAGAUACCAGCUGGCUGCAACUGUUUAUUAAAAACACAGCACUGUGCAAACACGAAAGUGGACGUAUACGGUGUGACGCCUGCCCGGUGCCGGAAGGUUAAUUGAUGGGGUCAGCGCAAGCGAAGCUCCUGAUCGAAGCCCCGGUAAACGGCGGCCGUAACUAUAACGGUCCUAAGGUAGCGAAAUUCCUUGUCGGGUAAGUUCCGACCUGCACGAAUGGCGUAAUGAUGGCCAGGCUGUCUCCACCCGAGACUCAGUGAAAUUGAACUCGCUGUGAAGAUGCAGUGUACCCGCGGCAAGACGGAAAGACCCCGUGAACCUUUACUAUAGCUUGACACUGAACAUUGAGCCUUGAUGUGUAGGAUAGGUGGGAGGCUUUGAAGCGUGGACGCCAGUCUGCGUGGAGCCGACCUUGAAAUACCACCCUUUAAUGUUUGAUGUUCUAACGUGGACCCGUAAUCCGGGUUGCGGACAGUGUCUGGUGGGUAGUUUGACUGGGGCGGUCUCCUCCUAAAGAGUAACGGAGGAGCACGAAGGUUGGCUAAUCCUGGUCGGACAUCAGGAGGUUAGUGCAAUGGCAUAAGCCAGCUUGACUGCGAGCGUGACGGCGCGAGCAGGUGCGAAAGCAGGUCAUAGUGAUCCGGUGGUUCUGAAUGGAAGGGCCAUCGCUCAACGGAUAAAAGGUACUCCGGGGAUAACAGGCUGAUACCGCCCAAGAGUUCAUAUCGACGGCGGUGUUUGGCACCUCGAUGUCGGCUCAUCACAUCCUGGGGCUGAAGUAGGUCCCAAGGGUAUGGCUGUUCGCCAUUUAAAGUGGUACGCGAGCUGGGUUUAGAACGUCGUGAGACAGUUCGGUCCCUAUCUGCCGUGGGCGCUGGAGAACUGAGGGGGGCUGCUCCUAGUACGAGAGGACCGGAGUGGACGCAUCACUGGUGUUCGGGUUGUCAUGCCAAUGGCACUGCCCGGUAGCUAAAUGCGGAAGAGAUAAGUGCUGAAAGCAUCUAAGCACGAAACUUGCCCCGAGAUGAGUUCUCCCUGAGACUUAGAGUCUCCUGAAGGAACGUUGAAGACGACGACGUUGAUAGGCCGGGUGUGUAAGCGCAGCGAUGCGUUGAGCUAACCGGUACUAAUGAACCGUGAGGCUUAACCUU
rnacentral:rRNA from 2 species